rnacentral:misc_RNA from 1 species
CAUGCUCCUUGUGCAUCGAACUGUUGAAAGUCGAUCUCAUCAAUCAAAGGCCAUGCACAUUCUUGUGAUAUGGAUGAAUGUCGGGUUCCCGUGCUGCAUACCCACGAAAGUGGAAAUUGGCUAUGUUGUGGGUUGAUAUUCGCUUAUGCCUGGCAAGGGCUAGUGGUGAACUUGGAAGCACCUCUUGUGUUCCAAACAUGUUAAUGCAACUGUUUUGGCACAUUUGUAGGUUGCUCGUGGUCUCGGAUGCGGCAAAUUAUUUUGUAGCUCUGAGGGAUCGGAUCCCUCAAUUGCUCAAAACAUUCGUUAUGUACGACAUGUAGUGCUUGUGUCCAGCCCUCCUCAUGCUACGAUGUUGGUAUGUUGAGGAAUGGAGCAAGCAUUGCUUUCGUGAAGGAAUGC